UUUGCUUUGUGUGUUUUCAAACUUGGAGAUAAUUACACCCCUCCAACAAAUGUGGUUCCAGAUAUCAUGCCAUUUAACUGCCAGUGGAUUCUCUCCGUGUUGAACAAGGCCAUAUCAAAAACUGUGACAUCACUGGACUCGUAUGAAUUUUCUGAUGCUGCUACUGCAGUAUAUUCAUGGUGGCAGUUCCAGUUGUGUGAUGUGUUUAUUGAAGCCGUCAAGCCCUACUUUGCCAGUGAUGCUCAAGCAUUUGCUUCUGAAAGGAGUUAUGCACAAGACACCUUGUCGGUGUGUCUGGAAUAACUAAUUGGAUGAUGGGUUCUAUUGCUGUUUGUUUUGGUUGUUUAUCAUUUAUAAUGUGCUGGACAAAUGAGAAAGUAGAGUAUGAGAUGGAUAUGAUUGAGUCAGCCGUGAAAUCACUCAGGUCACUCAGGGCGUUGAUGCCUGCAAAAGAAAGGCAUGAAAGCACUCUCCGGUUGGCGUGAUGAGUUACGUAAAGACAUUGAACAGCUGUGUAUGCAGCAAGCUGGUCCUGGUUACCUUGCUGUGGCUACUCGAAUGCAUUUUCAGAGGUAUGCGUUGGCAUUAUCUUUUCAAAUUGGAAAUAAGAAUGCAUUGUGAAUUUAUCCCCCCCAUUAGGACAGCUGGCUUGGAGCAGGAGAUUGAGAGCUUGAAAAAGAA